UGGGGAAUAUUGGACAAUGGGCGCAAGCCUGAUCCAGCCAUGCCGCGUGAGUGACGAAGGCCUUAGGGUUGUAAAGCUCUUUUGGCGGGGAAGAUAAUGACGGUACCCGCAGAAUAAGCUCCGGCUAACUUCGUGCCAGCAGCCGCGGUAAUACGAAGGGAGCUAGCGUUGUUCGGAAUCACUGGGCGUAAAGCGCACGUAGGUGGGCAGUUAAGUCAGGGGUGAAAGCCCGAGGCUCAACCUCGGAAUUGCCUCUGAUACUGGCUGUCUAGAGUUCGAGAGAGGUGAGUGGAAUUCCUAGUGUAGAGGUGAAAUUCGUAGAUAUUAGGAAGAACACCGGUGGCGAAGGCGGCUCACUGGCUCGAUACUGACACUGAGGUGCGAAAGCGUGGGAGCAAACAGGAUUAGAUACCCCAGUAGUCCCUGAGCGGGCUGGCAAGGCGCAU
rnacentral:rRNA from 1 species